rnacentral:rRNA from 1 species
GACGAACGCUGGCGGCGUGCCUAACACAUGCAAGUCGAACGGGACCAGGGGCAACUCUGGUUCAGUGGCGGACGGGUGCGUAACACGUGAGGAACAUGACCUUCGGCGGGGGAGUAGCCGGCCCAACGGCCGGGUAAUACCGCGUACGACCUUUCGGGGACAUCCCUGGAUGGUGAAAGCAGCAAUGCGCCGAUGGAGUGCCUCGCGGCCUAUCAGCUAGUUGGUGAGGUAACGGCUCACCAAGGCGACGACGGGUAGCUGGUCUGAGAGGAUGGCCAGCCAC